AUUUGGGCCGCGCUGUUUGCUUCCUUGCAAAAAGUUCACCACAAGGCUUUGUGCCAGUUACAUCAGUACAAGGCUGAAAGCAACGAAAGGAUCACAUUUGAUCAGUUCUAACAUACCAAUCAUAAACUCCGCAGUCCGCCCUUUUGUCGGCCUUCAGCAGCUCCCACAUUCCGACAGCAACUACUUGACAAGCCACCAAUUUUUUUUCUCCUCAACAAAUGUAAUGUCUGGUGAGUCCACCCACAAGUGAACCUGAACACCCCUACAUUAAAUGUUCUGUGGUCCGAUCAUUCAUGUUUGCUGGCCAUGUGCUGGGAGAACAUACCACCUACAUCCAAGGAAAACUGUGCGAAUGCCGGGCGCGAAAAACGCAGGAUUCGAGAAAUCCAAGAUGGCGGCCACAAGUCAGUCUCGUGGUGCUACGGUACGAAAUGUGUGCUUUGACUCUGCUCGCUCCCUUAGUGCAACUGACUGACCUUCCAUGGUGAACUACGCACAUAUACAAAUCCAGCUGCAGUCAAGACCAAUAGACUCUCUCCUCCCUUCUCUGCCAACGAGUGGAACGCGCCACUCUAAUAAGGGUCGCCAGGUCAAAUCUUGUCUGACAUCAGGAGCGUUGCAAUCAGAAUGGGGACAUACCCACUGCAACAAUGAAAAGGCAAACUUUCAGGCUAUCUCCCUCCGCAUGUGAUCCAGCCAGCACACUACACGACAACAAAUGCCACCAUUAGAUCCAACGGAGACAUACAUUAUUUCCCAUGAUACACCAACACCUGCACUGGGCCUCAUGACCUCUGACCUCCCUUUACACUCGCUCAAUAACUUUGUAUCCCCACCCACAAUAAAACUGAUCUCCCCCCUCAGUCAUGAACUUGUGGUACAAUCCUCCCAGACAGAUCUACACGAACAUGGUGUGCAGGUGCACACCGGGCCAACCGACUAUACCGAGUCCUGCUGUAGUUGGCUGGGUAUGGGUGACUGUCUUUCACACAGGAGUUCCAUGAUGAAGCAGGCCUGUAUUUUAAAGGUGCACAAUGCUGAAAGGUCUGGUACCCCUGGCACUUGUCAAUGCCGCGUACGGAGGAACUACCCUGCAGUGUUUCUGCAGCUAAACUGCGCAGAUCAACUGGAUCACAGAUCAGUGGGAUUGACAUCUUUGAAAGUGAACUGGCGCAUGAGGCCAGCAGCAAAGGCGGAGAGACGCUAUUGGACUGGAAGAUACCUCGGACUGGAUCAACACCAGAUGAGAAGAGGCACAGGAAACAGACCUAUUGUGUCAAACUACAUGUACCUGUCGAUGCAAAUCACACAGGUAGCAAAUUAUAAAGACCAAAGAUGGAUUUGUAAGACCAAGAAGGUACGU